rnacentral:rRNA from 1 species
UACGAAGGGGGCUAGCGUUGCUCGGAAUUACUGGGCGUAAAGCGCACGUAGGCGGCUUCUUAAGUCGGUGGUGAAAUCCUGGAGCUCAACUCCAGAACUGCCUUCGAUACUGGGAAGCUUGAGUUCGGGAGAGGUGAGUGGAACUGCGAGUGUAGAGGUGAAAUUCGUAGAUAUUCACAAGAACACCAGUGGCGAAGGCGGCUCACUGGCCCGAUACUGACGCUGAGGUGCGAAAGCGUGGGGAGCAAACAGG